AAAGAAACAGAACCAGAGAAAAAGGAAAAAAAAAUACGGUUGGUCCUUUUUCUUCCUUUGUUUUCUAUUUUGUU
rnacentral:ribozyme from 18 species